CCGCAAUGGACGAAAGUCUGACGGAGCAACGCCGCGUGAGUGAUGACGGCCUUCGGGUUGUAAAGCUCUGUUAAUCGGGACGAAAGGCCUUCUUGCGAAUAGUGAGAAGGAUUGACGGUACCGGAAUAGAAAGCCACGGCUAACUACGUGCCAGCAGCCGCGGUAAUACGUAGGUGGCAAGCGUUGUCCGGAAUUAUUGGGCGUAAAGCGCGCGCAGGCGGAUAGGUCAGUCUGUCUUAAAAGUUCGGGGCUUAACCCCGUGAUGGGAUGGAAACUGCCAAUCUAGAGUAUCGGAGAGGA
rnacentral:rRNA from 1 species